rnacentral:rRNA from 1 species
UACGUAGGGUGCGAGCGUUAAUCGGAAUUACUGGGCGUAAAGCGUGCGCAGGCGGUUUCUUAAGCCAGAUGUGAAAUCCCCGGGCUUAACCUGGGAACUGCAUUUGGAACUGGGAGACUAGAGUGUGUCAGAGGGAGGUGGAAUUCCACGUGUAGCAGUGAAAUGCGUAGAGAUGUGGAGGAACACCGAUGGCGAAGGCAGCCUCCUGGGAUGACACUGACGCUCAUGCACGAAAGCGUGGGGAGCAAAC